rnacentral:rRNA from 1 species
GACGGAGGAUGCAAGCGUUAUCCGGAAUGAUUGGGCGUAAAGCGUCUGUAGGUGGUUUAGCAAGUUUUCUGUCAAAGAUCAGGCUCAACCCUGGGCCGGCAGAGAAAACUACUAGGCUAGAGUUCGGUAGGGGCAGAGGGAAUUCCUGGUGGAGCGGUGAAAUGCGUAGAGAUCAGGAGGAACACCGAAGGCGAAAGCACGUCUGCUGGGCCGAACACUGACACUGAGAGACGAAAGCGAGGGGAGCAAAUGGG